GACGAACGCUGGCGGCGUGCUUAACACAUGCAAGUCGAGCGAUGAAGCUUCCUUCGGGAAGUGGAUUAGCGGCGGACGGGUGAGUAACACGUGGGUAACCUGCCUCAAAGUGGGGGAUAGCCUUCCGAAAGGAAGAUUAAUACCGCAUAAUAUGAGAGAAUCGCAUGAUUUUCUUAUCAAAGAUUUAUUGCUUUGAGAUGGACCCGCGGCGCAUUAGCUAGUUGGUAAGGUAAUGGCUUACCAAGGCAACGAUGCGUAGCCGACCUGAGAGGGUGAUCGGCCACAUUGGAACUGAGACACGGUCCAGACUCCUACGGGAGGCAGCAGUGGGGAAUAUUGCGCAAUGGGGGAAACCCUGACGCAGCAACGCCGCGUGGGUGAUGAAGGUCUUCGGAUUGUAAAGCCCUGUUUCUGGGACGAUAAUGACGGUACCAGAGGAGGAAGCCGACGGCUAACUACGUGC
rnacentral:rRNA from 1 species